GAUGAACGCUGGCGGCGUGCCUAAUACAUGCAAGUCGAGCGAACGGACGAGAAGCUUGCUUCUCUGAUGUUAGCGGCGGACGGGUGAGUAACACGUGGAUAACCUACCUAUAAGACUGGGAUAACUUCGGGAACCCGGAGCUAAUACCGGCUGAUAUUUUGAACCGCAUGGUUCAAAAGUGAAAGACGGUCUUGCUGUCACUUAUAGAUGGAUCCGCGCUGCAUUAGCUAGUUGGUAAGGUAACGGCUUACCAAGGCAACGAUGCAUAGCCGACCUGAGAGGAUGAUCGGCCACACUGGAACUGAGACACGGUCCAGACUCCUACGGGAGGCAGCAGUAGGGAAUCUUCCGCAAUGGGCGAAAGCCUGACGGAGCAACGCCGCGUGAGUGAUGAAGGUCUUCGGAUCGUAAAACUCUGUUAUUAGGGAAGAACAUAUGUGUAAGUAACUGUGCACAUCUUGACGGUACCUAAUCAGAAAGCAACGGCUAACUACGUG
rnacentral:rRNA from 1 species